CAGACACACCUAAGAAGAAUAGUUUGCAUCCUUCAAUCCAAUUAAGUUGCCACUCCGUAUUAACCAUCACAUCUCCUGAACUGAAAUAAGCAAAUAGGCCCGAAAUAAACUACUUUUCUCAAAACUGGAAAGGUAGGUGUAGGUUUUACCAUGAGUCAGGGUGUAGUUAGUAACCAGAAUCAGGCUGAUGUCCAUAGGCUUCAAAUUGCCUUUAGUGGCACUUACGGAGGAGGAAGAGUGUUAACAACAACCAAAGCAAAAAUAGUAAGAAAGACUAAAGAAAUAAACCAGCAUCAUAUGAACGAACCCACUUGGUCCUGGUUUCUAGCUGUCUCAGAAAGGGCCAAAGUAAGCAUCGACAGAGUGUAAGAAAAGUGAAUAAACUCUGGAAUCCAGAUAAUGCUGGUUCUAGCAUGGACUGAGUAUGUGGCCUUGUGAAAAAAUGACUUAAGUCCUGUUUCUUCAUCUGCAAGGUAAAGAGCUCUCCUUUCCGUGGGCUGUUGCACCUGGAAGUGUUUUGUGGAUGCUUCACACACACUAGGGUGUCAGUGUGCAUGCGUACUCCCCAGUUCAGUGAGUGCUGGUGCACAGGACAGUGGAAGUGGCCUUAGGAUGACUUCGGGAGUUUUUUCUAACUGAAAGGUUCUACUUUAGUCCACAGUGCAUUAGGAAAAAGCUCCUUCUGUCAUACUGGUGGGUGCCUUGGCAGUGACAAUAUUCUCCUACAAAUAGGGUGGCCAUUAAAUGUAUUGUUCAUACAGGGACAGUUUAGAUAAUAAAAGUGAGGAGGAGGACAGGUUACUAAUGAUCGCACUGACACAAAAAGCAAAUGGCUGUGUGGUCAUCCUCACUAAAGAGAUGUAAAAUGAUCAAUGCAGAGUCUUCCCCCAAACUCACACUGCCACCGCAUCUCCUGCCCCAAGAACCUUCUCUAUUGCAGCUGAUUCACCUCAUCAAAGCCACAGUAGGUACCCCUGAGCCAAGCCUGCCAGCACCCACCAUGACCUUCAUUAGAGUCCUUUCCCAUUCUGUUAUGACUGGCUGUUCCUCUGCCUUGCCCACUAGGCUCUAAGCUCCGUAAGGUCACUUCUUGUGUCCCUGAACACUCUUGUCCUUAGCACAGGGUUUAGGAGCUGGUACACAGGGAUAUUCCCAAAUUGGGAGGAUUUGCCAUUUAUGCUUUUUACCCUGCCUUUACCAAACACGUAUGAGAAAGGACUGAAGGUAAAUUGAAAUUUUUUAUGACUUUCAAAUAGUCUCAAAGGUGCACAAGCAGUCAUGUAUCCAAGCAGUUGUGAUCAGUGCUGGGGACACUAUGAUGACUGUGUCACCAUUCCUGCUGCUAAGGAAUCCAGAGUCCUAUAAAGGAAAUACCUACAGGAAGUCGAUAAGAGCAGAUAGAAGCCUGGGAUAGGGUGGUAGAGUAGGGUGGUGACACAUAAACAGAUUGGGGUGUGCUUUGAAGGUAAAACCAGCAGGACUCACUGAUGGACCAGAUGAGGGAGUUUACGGGAAGAGAAGAGACAAGUUUAACUUCCAGAUUUGGGGCCUGAUCAAACAGGCACACGGUGGAGCCAUGGGCCAAGAUGGGGAAGAACUGACAUGAGACAGGCUUGGGAGAAGAAGUAUGGUCACGGGAGGGAAUCAAGAGUUUUGUUUUGGCCACGUUAGGUUGGAGAUGGUCCAUCAGCCAACCAAAUGCAGAUGCGAGGCAUGCCCAUGGGAUGUGUCUGGAGCUCAGAGAAGAGAUCCUUCUAUAUGCCAGGCCCUAGCAACAUGCCUACAAUGUCAUCUGCUCUAGUUUAAGCCACACCUAGCUAAUUUUAGUUCCCCACCAUUUCAUGUUAUCAUCUUCAGGCCUUUAUACAGUCCUUGCUUUCUGAAGGCUUUUAAGUCUCAGAGGAGGCAUUGCCUUUUCCAGGCAGCCUUCUCUGAGGCCCUAGGUUUAGUCAUAUGCCCUUACUUGGUGGCCUCACAAGACGCCACGCUUGGCUUCUCUGGCAUUUAUCAAACUAAAAUGUAAUUGUCUGCUUCUCUAUUUUUUUCAUUCCAUGUCAAGUGUCUUGGGAGUAGAACUGUCUUCUCUCCCUGCCUCUCUAUAAACAAAUGUAAGACAUGGCAAUGUGGAGAUGGUCUGAGAAUGUCUGCUGAAUGAAUGAGCAUGACCAGCACAGGGGUGAGGGAUGUAGAGACAAGUCGCCACCACGUGGAAUCUCUUUAACUUAAAUCACAUGUGUCAAGAACCGCUCUUGUCAUGAAAAGCAGGCCUGUGUCAACCAAAUUUCCAAUACAUAUGGAUUACGACUUUUCCAGUCAAAGUAAUUCAGAGACCAUGAUAAAUUAGAGGUUGAUAAAAGGCUCCAGUUCAAGAUUUAUGGCUCUUCCAGAAUUCUUUCAAGUUUUCCCAAACAUAUAGAGACUGGCCUCUCUCCUGUAGCUGAAACAUCUGACUCUGGUUAGGACACUGUCCUCUGGGAGUGAGCCAUAUCGUGCAGUGCACAGUCCUGGCCCUGGGAAGCUGGCGGUGGCCCUGGAAGGGGGAUGUUCUUAAACAUUGGUCCUGCUUGUCCCCUGUGCCCUGGAUUCUUGACCAGCUGGGCCUAUAGCCCAGAAAGUUAGGACCUUGGCUGUGACAUUUCUGGGGACUUUCUGAGAUCCCCAGGAGUUUUGCCUAGCAGAAAAACAAAUAUGUGUGCGUGUGUGUGUGUGUGCGUGUGUGUAUGUUUUGAGGUUGCUAAUCCAUAAGCUGCAGCUAAUGUCAUCUAUCUUACAGAAGCAACACAAGAAUUUGCAAUAAAGUUUAUAAAGAACCAAGGCCAGGAUGAUCUCUCUUCUCUGCAAGUAGUAACUAUGUGAGGUUGAUAAAGUUGCUUUGGGUCUGAACUUGACCUGUGAUUCUAAAUUCUAUCAGUAGUUUAUAAAUCCUAUCAAUAGUUCUUGAGUACCUGCCAUGUGUUAGGCACUGUCCUCAUUUCUGGACAAACAGAAGUCAACAGGAUCACCAUACUUGUUGCUUUGGUGUGGUUGAUAUACCAUUGAGGGAUGGGGAAACAGACAGUAAAUAUCAAGCACAUACCACUUACGUGAAUUCCUUAAGAGAGGUGAGUGCUGUGGAACAUGAGCCAAGGUGUGGUGGUAGACAAUGGCAAGUGAUGAGGUCACAGAUGUAGGAGGCAGCUUCCUGAGGGCAACUAAACAUCUGAGCUGAAGCCAAAUGAUGAGAGGGGGCCAUCCAAUUGCAGACCUCAGAAAGGAGCAGCUCGGGGAGAGGGAAGAGCUGGUAGGACUGUGAUGAUGAUGACAAUGAGAGGGAGGAAGCCUGUUUAUGAGCACAUACACAAAUUCAUCCAUUCAUCUAUCUGUCAAUCCAAUCAUUCCUUGAAUGAGCUCAUACCAAUCCUGUAACUCUCGUCCUCUGUCCCAGGCUUUCUGACUCAGACCCGUUUCUUGCUCUUAAAAACUUUGUAACCUCAUGAAGAAACCACAGCCAGGUAAAUAUUCUUCUAUUUUGUUCCAUUUUGCUCUUCUGUGGUCAUUGGUCUGAUUUUUGGCCUUAAGUGACACUCUUUUACCUCCAGCUGCUGCUGUCUUUCACAUGUAUGUUCCUCUCACUUCAAUAGCAUGCUAAGUAGCAAAACCCAAAACCCUCCUCAAUCAAUCUUCAAUCCCUAUGCAGGGACUGCUGACAAAGACACUUGUACAUAACAGCCUCUAAGUAUAACGUCUACAUCCACUUCCAUUCCAGGUCAUAAUUAUGUGGUUCCAAGUACCUGGUUCAGCUGCACGUUUCAUCUGGGCUCAGGUUCCUUCUUUAUUUACCCCACACAUAGGCACUGGGUUUGAAGAGGGCUGAGGUUUAGACGGUGGGCUUUGUCCUUAGGAACAUUUAGGCAGUGACCUUGUUACAUGUUUCUGACUUAGUAGGUGCAAGUCCCUUUUGCACACUUCGCCAAGCCAAACAUCUUCUAGGUCUUCCCAGGGCUUAGAACCAUAUAUCAAAUCUUGUUGGUAAGGCCCUCAAAUUCUUCCUGGGUCAUGGGAAAGAUGGAAUCACAUCUCAAAUUAUCCCCUUUUUUUUAUAAAGUGCUCUCACAUACAGCAUGUCAUCUGACCUUCACUGCAUUCUUGAAGAUAGAUCAAUGCAUCCCCAUUUUAUUCCGAAGACCACUAAAUUUCCAGGAGGCAGAAGUCGGAGUGGGAAGUGGACAGAGAUCUAAAACACUUGAGAUAACUUGAGUACCUGUGCUCAUCUGGCUGGGUGCCACAGGAUUUCAUCCAGAGACUUUGUAAAACAGUGAUCAUGAAGCCCAUUUUCCAAGUAUUUAUUAAUUGUCCAAGAUUUCAAGGAGUAGAGUCAAGACAUUAAACAAAGACUUUAGGCUUUAGUCGACGGCAUUUUCUGCUACAAGAUGUGGCUCGUGUCCUUCUAAGACCUGAAACUCUUCUGAAACAGAAUGUAUGUGAAUAUCUUUGGAGCCCAACUCAGUGCCUGGCAUCAAGCAGAUUCAACAGAGGCCGAAAUACCGUGAAAUGAGUGUUUAAAUAAAGUAGCAUUUGCCACAGUA